AGCACUUUUACCAAAUGUGCUGACAGAUGUAAGUCCGACGUGCGAACCAACGCACUGCCAAAGUUGGCUUUGGGAUUAC
rnacentral:ncRNA from 1 species